UACUUCUAGUCAGGAGCUGUUGGGUUUUG
rnacentral:piRNA from 1 species